GUUAGGAAUAUUGGACAAUGGGCGCAAGCCUGAUCCAGCCAUGCCGCGUGAGUGAUGAAGGCCUUCGGGUUGUAAAGCUCUUUAGCCGAUGAUUAUAAUGACUGUAGUCGGAAAAUAAGCCCCGGCUAACUUCGUGCCAGCAGCCGCGGUAAUACGAAGGGGGCGAGCGUUAUUCGGAAUCACUGGGCGUAAAGCGUGCGUAGGCGGCUUUGCAAGUUGGGAGGGAAAGCCCAGGGCUCAACCCUGGAAUUGCUCUCAAAACUGCAAGGCUCGAAUUCGGGAGAGGAUAGCGGAAUUGUCAGUGUAGCAGUGAAAUGCGUAGAUAUUGACAGGAACACCAGUGGCGUAAGCGGCUAUCUGGACCGAUAUUGACGCUGAGGCACGAAAGCGUGGGGAUCAAACAGGAUUAGAAACCCUGGUAGUCC
rnacentral:rRNA from 1 species